rnacentral:misc_RNA from 1 species
AAAAUUAAAAGCUGAAGAGGCGCUGGAGCGACCCGGCUACACCAAGCUAGCAGACGACAGAACUUAAGAUUUUCAUUCCAAAAUCGGGUGAUCUCAAGAUUCGUCUCGUAGUGUCGACAUGCGAAUAAGGAGGCCUCGAGGUUUGAGCAAUUCUCAAAUCAUCUUUGCAAGUAUCCUGGGAACUUUUGGUGGAUUUUACAUCUGGAAACCAGAAUUCGACCGUCUCCGCGCACGUGAAGAGAAAGCUUUGGAAACAACUACGCAAUCAUCAACAACAACAUAGUGCCUGAAGACCGAAGAUGAUUGGUGUUUCAAGAUUAUGGCAGUCGUAUGUGAAGCAGGCUAACAGUAGCUCGGGAUUAAUGAUUGCAAUAGGAAUAUUGUCAAUCUCAUGUAUUUAUGGAUGGAAAAAAGGAGUGCAACCAGUUCUGAGGCAAAGAAAGCGGGAAGAAGCUGAAGAGUUUGCUGAUUUUUUAUUUGAGGAGCACAAGAAAAAAUUAGGGAAAAAUAUGCCGUAAUAAGUUUUAAUACCAGGUAUUAUCCACCCCGGAAGUUCCGUAUAUUAUGUGUAUUACACAUAUUUAUGCAUGUAUGUAUGUAUAGUUGAUGAUGUAUCAGACACUGUUACAUUUAUGAUAAAUAAAAUUAGGUAGAUUUCAGAAAUAGUUUGACGCUACUUUUAUUCCAAUUUUGCUAUUCUCGCUCGUUUGCUGAGCAGACAAUACAUAGAUAAAUUUCAAUAAUUGGCUUGACAAUAACAUCGAGCAAUCCACUAUCCAUAAUGGUUGACGAUUAUUAACAUCAUUGUCUCACUCAUUCUUCUUCACUGAACUUUGUUCCAUAAAAGGGAACAUACUGCAAAACCGCUUUCCAGUCAGUCAUGUACAAUAAUCCCAAAGAACCAACUCCUCCAAACGUUACUAACGACGGUAACCUGUAAUGUGAACAACAAGGCAUUGAAUCUUUCAAAAUGUGAAUAAUAAUGAUUUAUAAAAGUAUGCGUCCGCAUUAUACUUUAGAUUGAGAAUAGAAGUCAAUCAGUUUCGAUUUCAAUAUAUUUAUGAGGGAUAAAGAGGUUAGGUUAGACUCCUUCAAGUUUCGUGAAUUACAUAAUCUAACUUACAUAAACGAUUUUCAAAACUUUUGUAUGAUGAUUUUAAGAUUGGUUCGUUUGGAAUGAUUGAGUGAUCAGUGAUCAGAUUCGAGAUGAGAAAAAUUUACGGAGAGGACAGUUAAACGGUUUUGGGAAAUGAGUACGUAAAAGAAUUGGAAAAUGAAGUGGUUGUAUUUGUAUUGCUUUUUCUUACCAUCUACCAAACUGUUCAAUGUGUUUUUUUCCAACGAGUGCCAAUGGCCCUGGGAGAGACAUUUUGAUUGAUAAAUCAAAAAAUUGGCUGAAGUAAAUUGAGGCUCGGAGUUAUCUACUAGAAGAAGAAUAUUCUCCACUCUCCACUCCUCGUGAAUAAACGCGAAUACGUUGUAAUGAUUGGCCGUUAAGAUGUCGCUAAAGUUACCCG